UACGUAGGUGGCAAGCGUUACUCGGAAUCACUAGGCGUAAAGCGCAGGUAGGAGGUUUAGUAAGUCUGUUGUGAAAGCUCCCGGCUUAACUGGGAGAGGUCAACGGAAACUGCUAGGCUAGAGUGCGGUAGAGGUAGCUGGAAUUCCCGGUGUAGCGGUGAAAUGCGUAGAUAUCGGGAGGAAUACCUAUGGCGAAAGCAGGCUACUGGACCGUCACUGACUCUGAUCUGCGAAAGCUAGGGGAGCAAACAG
rnacentral:rRNA from 1 species